rnacentral:rRNA from 1 species
GAUGAACGCUGGCGGCGUGCUUAACACAUGCAAGUCGAACGAGAAGUGGAGACGGAAACCUUCGGGCGGAAGACUUUAUUUCGAGUGGCGGACGGGUGAGUAACGCGUGGGUAACCUGCCUCAUACAGGGGGAUAACAGUUGGAAACGACUGUUAAUACCGCAUAAGACCACAGCACCGCAUGGUGCGGGGGUAAAAACUCCGGUGGUAUGAGAUGGACCCGCGUUCGAUUAGCCAGUUGGCGGGGUAACGGCCCACCAAAGCGACGAUCGCUAGCCGAUCUGAGAGGAUGACCGGCCACAUUGGGACUGAGACACGGCCCAAACUCCUACGGGAGGCAGCAGUGGGGAAUAUUGCACAAUGGGGGAAACCCUGAUGCAGCGACGCCGCGUGAGUGAAGAAGUAUUUCGGUAUGUAAAGCUCUAUCAGCAGGGAAGAAAAUGACGGUACCUGAGGAAGAAGCCCCGGCUAACUACGUG